rnacentral:rRNA from 1 species
GACGAACGCUGGCGGCGUGCUUAACACAUGCAAGUCGAACGGAAAGGCCCUGCUUUUGUGGGGUGCUCGAGUGGCGAACGGGUGAGUAACACGUGAGUAACCUGCCCUUGACUUUGGGAUAACUUCAGGAAACUGGGGCUAAUACCGGAUAGGAGCUCCUGCUGCAUGGUGGGGGUUGGAAAGUUUCGGCGGUUGGGGAUGGACUGGCGGCUUAUCAGCUUGUUGGUGGGGUAGUGGCUUACCAAGGCUUUGACGGGUAGCCGGCCUGUGAGGGUGACCGGCCACAUUGGGACUGAGAUACGGCCCAGACUCCUACGGGAGGCAGCAGUGGGGAAUAUUGCACAAUGGGCGGGAGCCUGAUGCAGCAACGCCGCGUGCGGGAUGACGGCCUUCGGGUUGUAAACCGCUUUCGCCUGUGACGAAGCGUGAGUGACGGUAAUGGGUAAAGAAGCACCGGCUAACUACGUG